rnacentral:rRNA from 1 species
UGGCGAACGGGUGAGUAACACGUGGGUAAUCUGCCCUGCACUCUGGGAUAAGCCUGGGAAACUGGGUCUAAUACUGGAUAUGACCUUUCUCCUUAUGGGGUUUGGUGGAAGGUCUUUCGGUGUAGGAUGAGCCCGCGGCCUAUCAGCUUGUUGGUGGGGUGAUGGCCUACCAAGGCGACGACGGGUAGCCGGCCUGAGAGGGCGAUCGGCCACAUUGGGACUGAGAUACGGCCCAG